AUUGAACGCUGGCGGCAGGCCUAACACAUGCAAGUCGAGCGGCUGCACUGUUCUUUCUCCUUCUUUCAGCUGCGGACUGGUGUGUAAUUCCUAGGUAUCUCCCUUUUUUUUUUUUAUAACGUCCUUACACGGGCUCUAAUACCCCAUUCCUCCUUACUUAGUACGUUUGUGAUCUUCGGACCUCACGCUCUCACAUGAUCCUAGGUCGGAUUAGCUAGUUGGUUGGGUAAAGGCCUACCAAGGCGACGAUCCGUAACUGGUCUGAGAGGAUGAUCAGUCACACUGGAACUGAGACACGGUCCAGACUCCUACGGGAGGCAGCAGUGGGGAAUAUUGGACAAUGGGCGAAAGCCUGAUCCAGCCAUGCCGCGUGUGUGAAGAAGGUCUUCGGAUUGUAAAGCACUUUAAGUGGGGAGGAAAAGCAGUAAGUUAAUACCUAGCUGUUUUGACGUUACCAAAAGAAUAAGCACCGGCUAACUUCGUG
rnacentral:rRNA from 1 species